rnacentral:rRNA from 1 species
CGAGUGGCGGACGGGUGAGUAAUGUCUGGGAAACUGCCUGAUGGAGGGGGAUAACUACUGGAAACGGUAGCUAAUACCGCAUAAUGUCGCAAGACCAAAGAGGGGGACCUUCGGGCCUCUUGCCAUCGGAUGUGCCCAGAUGGGAUUAGCUUGUUGGUGGGGUAACGGCUCACCAAGGCGACGAUCCCUAGCUGGUCUGAGAGGAUGACCAGCCACACUGGAACUGAGACACGGUCCAGACUCCUACGGGAGGCAGCAGUGGGGAAUAUUGCACAAUGGGCGCAAGCCUGAUGCAGCCAUGCCGCGUGUAUGAAGAAGGCCUUCGGGUUGUAAAGUACUUUCAGCGGGGAGGAAGGGAGUAAAGUUAAUACCUUUGCUCAUUGACGUUAUCCGCAGAAGAAGCACCGGCUAACUCCGUGCCAGCAGCCGCGGUAAUACGGAGGGUGCAAGCGUUAAUCGGAAUUACUGGGCGUAAAGCGCACGCAGGCGGUUUGUUAAGUCAGAUGUGAAAUCCCCGGGCUCAACCUGGGAACUGCAUCUGAUACUGGCAAGCUUGAGUCUCGUAGAGGGGGGUAGAAUUCCAGGUGUAGCGGUGAAAUGCGUAGAGAUCUGGAGGAAUACCGGUGGCGAAGGCGGCCCCCUGGACGAAGACUGACGCUCAGGUGCGAAAGCGUGGGGAGCAAACAGGAUUAGAUACC